rnacentral:lncRNA from 1 species
CACCCGAACCCCACGAAGUUAUGCUCAACGCACCAACCACACCAGUCGCGCAGAACCCGGUCUCGAGCCAACCAGAGAAGAAACUGGCCAUGCCUCUCCUCUACCGCCACAUCAUCGUCCUGCUCGUCGUCCUCUUCGCUGCAGCUUCCCGUGGCGAUCCAGCCGGUGGCGCAUACGACCGCCCGACGUGCCAGCUCGAACCUUCCACCUGCAGCCAUGUCAGCGUCCGGUACCCGUUCCAUCUUUACAACGGAACAGAUGAGGCAGUGCCGGAGCACGGCGAGCUGCAGUCGUCGCACUGCGGCUACCCCGGCCUGGCCAUCAUCUGCGACGACGACAGGCCCAUCCUCCGCCUCGGCAGGGACAACUACACGGUAUCGAAUAUCAACUACACCAACCUCACCAUCUCCCUCGCCGACGCCGACGCCCUCGGCGACGACACCUGCCCCAUGGUCGAUCACAACGUCACCGUCCCGAAGCAGUUCCAUCUGCCCACCUCCACCAUCGCUUACCUCUUCUUCUUCGUCAACUGCACCUUCCUGCCGGAAGCCGAUUUCGCUACUCCAUCACGCAAGCUGCCGAGCAUCAAGCCAGUCACCUGCGGGAGCUCUGGACAAGAGCCUGCCAUGUCCUUCGUGCUGCCGGAACGCGAGAUCCCUCCCAAGGACUGGUGGCAGGCAUGCCGGUCAGUCUACGCAGCCCCCGUGCUCAAGGACGCCCUCCCCGCCGACGCAAAGGACCCUGGGUGGAGAGAGGGCGGGUACGCGAAGGCUCUCCGCGGCGGGUUCCAGGUGGGCUGGGACCGGAGCUCCGGCCCGUGCGGCCAGUGCGAGCAGUUCGGCGGCAAGUGCGGCUACAACGGCACCGGCGGGCUCCUGGGCCCUGGUGGUGGGCAACGCCGCCGACUGCAGCAAGAUAUCUGACACCACCGCGCCGCUGCCCGGUAAGCCCACCAUUCCGAUCAAACUGCUGCAGCACUUUUGUGAGUACCGUGCAAAUCUUAUCAUGGAAUCCUCAUUUGCCUUGCCCGACCGUCACCGGCAACUAAAAAUCCGUACACUCUGCCUAACUUCGCUUGGCAAUUUUGAACUACCUAGCAAGAUGCCCGUGCAUUACAUGGAACAUUAAGAUGCAUUUUUUUACAAAACACCUGUUGUGAUUGACCCAUGUAGGAAUAAUCCCAUGUGUAAAAACUAAUGAUAUCUCGAGAAUUUUAUCAAAAAAAUGAUAUAUCGAGAAAGAUGAGAGAUAAGGUGAGGAGAAGUGGGGCGCGGUGGUGAUUGGUGGUCGGACUUAGCAGAGGCAUGGGGAUGGACGAUGCCGGCAGCGGCCACCGUGCCAGAUUGUUUCAGAGGCUUCCUUUUUUAAUUACUCAAAUGAAGUUGUGGGAGAUAAGGAUGAACGAGAGAGGUGCGGAUAUCCUUUUACAAAAUUGCCAUAGUUUGUUUUCUAUCCAUAAGAUAUAGAUCGGACGGUCUAUAUUGCAAGAUGGCAGAUACACCAUCAUCACUAACUCGGGUUUUUAUAAGAGUAGAGAAACAACGUCACUUUGCAUGUCAUAACUGAAUCCAUAGGCUCAAAGCUGGCUUUUUUUUAUCGAAUCAUGCAAAGAGCUGCAUGCAAUAAUAAUUACAGUAGAUAGAAAGAAAAGUCCGUGUGGUGGGCGUGUGGACGUGAACAUGUGAUGACUGAUGAUUGAGGUCUUUGCACUUUGUAUUGACCAGCAUUUGCCGACAUGCAAUGCACCAGUCUUUGUAUAUCUCGCUUGUCAAUUCCUUCCCAUUUCGCCGGAAGACAAACCCAAUUGUGUGCAUCAAGUAAGGUGUGUGGUAGACGACGUGGUUUUUACUUUCACUGUUGCAUAAUAUAAGAGUGUUUUUUAUUGACGUAUAAGUGCAUAGCUCUCCUUUCCCCACUAGCUUUAACUUUUGAGUGAAUUGGCUUGUGCGUGUAGUUCUAUAUGGUAUCAGAGUAAAGAGGUCAUGAGUAAGACCCGACUGACUGCAAUUAAAUUACAAGUCCACUUCCGGUUCACGUUUACAAAAGUUGUGGUUUUCGUCCGGGGUUUUUCUGUUUUGAACCUGGGUUGGUUUACCCUCGGCGACCCCCUUUUUCAGACAAAUAAAAACUGUAAAAGCCAACAAUUAACAGCUCAUUUGCCAUUUGGUCCAAACAUCUGCCUGCAUCCUGCUCUCGAUUAGGAUGCUUAUAUGUAUGCACUUGGCGAUUCCCAAAUAAGUAGAUAAUUUUCAUUGGGAACGGAAGGAAAUGUCUGUCUCAGGAAACUGUUCUGUGGGUGUAGAUCGGUCAAAUUUAUACACGCACACUAGUCUCAACGGACCAAACUCAGAGAGAUAGAGAUGGCAGACGACUGACUAGUCUGCCGCCAAGAUACCGUUGACCGGCAUGAUCCUGCCAUCUAUCACGUCGCCCAUCCUCCUCCGAAACUUCUACCCAGGACCAAGAGCCCUCGCAACAUGUAAACGAAGGCAUGCGGGCGGACAGCGAACCACCGGUUUAUAAAGAUCAAAGCAGAGAAUGGAACACUACUGCUGACUUUUAGCUAGCUAGCCAAGCAGCCAUGCCUCUCUUGCUAAGCCACCACCACCAGCUGCUGCUGCUUCUCCUCUUGGUUGCCGUUACCGCCUCCCAUGGCGAUUCAUCUGAUGAUGAUACUUACAACCCAUCCAUGUGUCUGCCUCAAACUUACACCUGCGGGGACGUGAGGAUCAGCUACCCGUUCUAUCUCGCCGGGGAGACAAAAGAUGUCAAGGGCAACGCCAACUCGUACUGCGGCUACCCUGGCCUGAGGAUCCUCUGCAACGACGACAAACCCAUCCUGCAGCUCAACGGCACCGCCAACUACACGGUGAAGAGCAUCGACGGCGCGCUCGCAACCGUCUCUCUAGCCGACCCAGCGGUGGACGACGCCCGCAACACCUGCCCAAGACCAAGAAUCGACCGCAACAUCACUUUGCAAGAGGGAUCGCUGCUGUACUUUCCUGACAGCACGGUCGAUUACCUUGUCUUCUUCAUCGGCUGCGCCUUCAACUCUACCUUCCACCAACCGAGUUACAUCCGCCCGAUCAGCUGCGAAAGCUUUGACGAUGGUCCUGGUCCUGGGCUAUCGUUCGUGCUUCCCGAUGAUGCAGUGCCCGCCGGCAACUGGGUGCAGGCGUGCAGCCAAGUCAUACAAUUGCCUGUGCACAAAUACGGCGAGAUCAACCUUACUGACCCUGGAUGGACAAACGGGAGUGGAUAUGCCAGUGUUCUUCGUCAGGAAUUCCAGCUGGGAUGGAACGAGAGCGCGAAGGACCCGGCAUGUAUCCAGUGCGAGGGCCGCUUGCCCGUUGCAAACGCCAACCUGAUUUAAUCGGAAAUUCAUUUCAGUUUCAGUGUCAGGGGCGCUUGUGCCUGAAAAACGAACGAAACCAAGAGCGCGUCCGUCCGUUUCGAAAAAAGAAUAGCGCGUGAGGUAGGGCAGAAGCGUUAAUAUUCGUUCCCAUUUCGUCAGUCGUCAGUCGACAAGGAUGGUUCCCGACCUUUUCCACACCCAUUGUUCCCUACUUUGCUCGUGACUGUGGGGUUCAUUACCAUCAGGCGAACCGCUGCCUCGCGUUCGAGAAGCUCUAAGAGCUUCUCUUUCUUCCUUUCUUCUCUGAGUUUCCGGGGCUGUACAAACACACACCUACAUCCUCAGUAGGUCUUCGGAAGAGAGUUGACGGGGUCCUAAUUCUUUCUUUCUGUGGCCGGGAUCCAGCUUGGAUUACCACCAACACCAACUGAACUGUUUUUACAGAGACCAUUAAGAGAACUUAUCAAUUCCUAAAUUAAAAGCUUGCUGUGGAAGACAAAAGUAAAUAUCGGCGCCCGACUAGAAGCCUUUUCUUCCACGCGCCUGGGCGAGUCUCCACGGAACAGCGACGGGAGGUACUAGUACAACAGACGACUUCCGUGGCACACUCUCGUUACGUACGUAUGCGCGACACCGGAGACCGGACUGGUCAAAGGUUGAGCAAGAGGGGCUUCCCGGCAUGUCCCUCUCAUCGGCCUGCCAUGCCAGUCGCCGGAGAAACUCGCAAGGCCUCCGCCACUUAUAAACGCAGAGGAGGAGCAGCGGCAAGAAACAAACGGCCCGGUGCAGACAGCCACCAAACCAGAGAGGAGAAAAAGGAGACCCUCGCUCGCCUAACUCCAUUAGCCGAUAGCCAUGCCCCUCUUGAUAUGCCACCGGCUGCUGCUGCUUCUCCUCUUCUGGGUCGCCGCCUCCCAUGGCGAUUCAUCUGAUGAUGGGGCUUACGACCCCUCCAUGUGCCUGAAUCAAACUUACACCUGCGGAGAGGUGAGGAUCAGCUACCCGUUCUAUCUCGCCGGGGAGACCAAAGAUCUCAAGGGCAACGCCAACUCCUACUGCGGAUACCCUGGCCUGGGGAUCCUCUGCGACGACGACAAGCCCAUCCUGCAGCUCGACGGCAUCGUCAACUACACCGUCAAGAGCGUCGACGGCGCAACCGCGACCGUCUCUCUAGCCGACCCGAACGUCGACGACGACCGCAACACCUGCCCGAGACCAAGAAUCGAUCACAACAUCACUUUGCAAAAGGGAUCGCUGCUGUACUUUCCUGACAGCGCGGUCGAUUACCUUAUCUUCUUCAUCGACUGCAUCUUCAACUCUACCUUCCACCAACCGAAUAGCAUCUACCCGAUCAGCUGCAAAGGCUUUGAUGCUGGUCCUCGUCCUGGACUAUCCUUCGUGCUUCCGGAUGAUGCAGUGCCCGCCGGCAACUGGGUGCAAGCGUGCAACCAAGUCAUACAAUUGCCUGUGCACAAAUACGGCGAGAUCAACCUUACUGACCCUGGAUGGACAAACGGGAGUGGAUAUGCCAGUGUUCUUCGUCAGGAAUUCCAGCUGGGAUGGAACGACAGCGGGAAGCCCCCGGCAUGUAUCCAGUGCGAGGGGUCCAAUUCCAAGGGACGGUGCGGUCACAGUCGGACCGGCGAUUUCAUCGGCUGCUUGUGCCCUGACGGCCUAGUACACUCCGAUAAUACUUGCAAUAAAUCCCGUAAGUUCUCUGAAUCUGAAGCUUUUCCUUUGCAGAAGUUGCGUUUUUCUAGCUGCUGUGUAGCUGCCCUGUAGUUGUAUCUCGGGCACUCGGUGCUUUCUUUCCACUUACGGACAAAUCCUUAAUUUCAUCAUCUCUUGGAGAAAUACCUCACACACAUGCUUUCUCACCAAGUAGAGGGUCGAGUGCAGAGCCUAAACAUUUCUUAUCACUGUAAACAAAGCCUAUCAGACCACCAUAAAUCUAAGCCUUCAGUUUUGUCAGUUUGACUUCCAGGUGUGAGAGAGCCUGCAAACUUCUUUUUUUUUUGGCGGGAGCGAGAGAGCCCGCAACUUAUACCGACUUGUUGCAUAUAAAUGUCAAGGUUUUUUUCCUGUGGCAUGGUAAUCGUUCAGGUUAAUAGUACAUGAGCGGAAGCCCAGCCAAUUCUAACUCGUAGGCGAGACCAAUUCCCGCCCCGAUUUGGACGUGAUUGCUUCAUGUGAAGUACUGUAAACGCGUUCUGUUUUACUCUUCUUGUAUCUGGUGGGGAACACAUUUCUAUUACUCGAAUGACAAAUAGGAUUGUGCACAUGUUUUCCACAGGUGUUGUCGAAAAAUUAGACGCCAGCUUAACCAUUCCGCGGACAUUCCUUUGUUUUUCUUUUCGGAUAUGCAAUUUCUUAGCCGUUGCUGAAAUUUGUCUUGGUCCACCGAGGACCAUUUUUUUUUUCCGACCGAGUCGUUGACCAACUAGAAUGCUGAGAAAUCCAUGCCACGGCACUAGAGAGCGCGCCCACAACGGGAGGAAGCCAGACACCUCCACAGUAUCUCCACCUUCUUCGUCUCAUCCAGUUCCGACUUUAGCGGUGAUGAUACAUCUGGUUGCAGGGCCAUGCGGCUCUAGGACUGGAUGCGACCCGUGGGCACGUCGCGAGUGGUGGGGUAUGAAGAGAAAGUAAGGGGAGGGGCUUCACUGAGGAUGUUGAACAGGAGCAGGGGCUCCCCGGUGAAGGUGUGAGAGAGAGGAGGAGAAGGAGUUGCGACCAGUGGCAGAGCNNNNNNNNNNNNNNNNNNNNNNNNNNNNNNNNNNNNNNNNNNNNNNNNNNNNNNNNNNNNNNNNNNNNNNNNNNNNNNNNNNNNNNNNNNNNNNNNNNNNNNNNNNNNNNNNNNNNNNNNNNNNNNNNNNNNNNNNNNNNNNNNNNNNNNNNNNNNNNNNNNNNNNNNNNNNNNNNNNNNNNNNNNNNNNNNNNNNNNNNNNNNNNNNNNNNNNNNNNNNNNNNNNNNNNNNNNNNNNNNNNNNNNNNNNNNNNNNNNNNNNNNNNNNNNNNNNNNNNNNNNNNNNNNNNNNNNNNNNNNNNNNNNNNACUCCGAAGUCCAUCAGAAAAACACAUAGCGUGUGCGUGACAACCGAGAUUUGUGAAGCGGUGCCCACCUGAUUUGACAAGUCGGGCUAGGGUUUUCAGUUAGGUUCAAAGUGGAAGAAUAAGCACAAUGAUGUCUCCAGUGAGGGACGUGAUGUCCGCGAGUGUCACUGUCAUCAGAGUUCGUCGUCAAGACGCACUUUUGCUUGGUCCACAUCUUCCCACGCGUAGUAGCCGCAUCACAUCCAUUUUUGUGGAACCACCAUCCUAGAGACCACCAUAGGCCGGACCCAAAAAACCUCUAGAUUAUACCUAUGAGCCCAUCCAUCUCCUUCCAUCAACUCACCCACCUUACGGUCGAGAAGAACGGCAUCGUCCGUGAGCACCGCCUACAAAGGCGAAUAUGACAAUUCGCCAAUCGCUAGACAAGGGCGCCGCCCUGGCUACCGUGCCAUCGUCGUCGUCGGUAAGCCACCACAGUGGGAGGAUGAUGAGAGCCCCACCGAUGUCAUCCACCAUAAGUCCAAAGACCAGGUAGAGCUUGUGUUGUCACCAUUUACCACGAGGCUUCGGGAGGUGGCUAGGGUUGAAAGAAGGAGUAGAGGCGACCAGCACUUAUCGGUUACACCGAAUCAAUUCGAAAGUCUAUUGAAGAUUCACUUUGGAAGUUUAUUAGAACCAUUUGAGUUUUUUCUUGUAACUAGAAUAGUUUAUGGAUCAUUUGAAUUUCAAAGAUUUUCGUAAUCAUGACAGCGUUGCAUAGCGUGUGAGAAGAGAAAAUGGAAAGGUCAGGCGAACGGUUGGGAUGUCCACGUGGCCGAAGAGAGUGUGCAUACCCACCUUCAUAGACGUGCAGGUGCAGAAUCGUCCCGAAAGACAACCAAAUCUUUCUAGAUAAAACGCCAAAUUAUAUCAUAAUAUAUAGACCACGAGCAUAUUUCCUUGGACUGGCAACAAAAAAGAACCCACUGUCGAGUCGCGACUCAGCUACGGGGAGGAGACUUGACACAGCUGCGGCAAGCUGGCGCGUCGCAACUGCCACAGCCUUCCCGUCAACUGUCACGGUGCCGUACGUCCUGCACUGCCCACCCAACCGGCCAACCCCCUCACCCGAACCCCGCCAAGCCGGCUUAUAACCAGGAGGCAGGCAACCAACCGCGCAUAAACCGGCCUCGCUCGAGCCAACCAGAGAAGAAACUGGCCAUGCCUCCCCUCUGCCGCCCCCGCCACGGCCAUGUCAUCGUCCUGCUCGUCGUCCUCCUCGCCGGCGCUUCCCAUGGCGAUCCAGCCGACCGCCCGACGUGCCAGCUCGAGCCGCUCACCUGCGGCGAUCUCACUGUCCAGUACCCCUUCCAUCUUUAC